GCCUAAUAAUCGAAUCUGAGGAGAAAAACAUGGCAGAUAGCAUCUCUCUAAAGUGCCAAAACCUGACAAAAGUAAUGUCCCCAACGUACGGGAAAUGAAUCCAGUGAGCUUCCACUCAGACUCACCUGCAGUGUUGAUCAAUAAAUCGUGUUCCGUCUGUUUUGUCUGAACUUUUCAAAAUCAAAAGUAAUGUCCAAGAAAUAUGGAAAUAUUACAUUCCAGGAAAAUGAAUUUUAAAGGAAGAAGUGCGGGACGGCGGAGCUUACGGGUGCCUCCCACUUUCUUCCUUUGCUUUUUCUUCUUCAUUUGCGGUCUUUUCGCUUCGAAGCUUCUCUCUCGUCAGGAGGUAUCAACUGGAUUACACCCAAAAUUAAAAGUGCAGGAGGAGAACAGAGAGUUUCAUCCAUUGUCGCAUGGUGAGACGGGAGAAGAUUCGUUAACUCAUAUUCCCUUUCAGGUUCUAAGUUGGAAACCUCGUGCGUUAUACUUCCCUGGUUUUGCAACGCCUGAACAGUGUGAAAGCAUAAUUAAGAUAGCAAAGGCAAGUCUUGAACCUUCAACCUUGGCUUUACGCAAGGGAGAAAAAGCAGAAAAUCUUAAAGGAAUUCGCACAAGCUCCGGGACAUUUAUAAAGGCAUCUGAAGACAAAAGUGGAACCUUGGACAUCAUUGAAGAUAAAAUAUCAAGCGCCACAAUGAUCCCUCGCACUCAUGGUGAGGCGUUUAACAUCUUACGGUAUGAGAUUGGACAGAAAUACAGGCCACAUUACGAUGCAUUCAACCCUAACAUAUAUGGACAAGUGAAGAGCCAGAGGGUUGCUUCUUUUUUGUUGUAUUUAUCCGAUGUUGAAGAAGGUGGAGAGACUAUGUUCCCGUAUGAGAAUGGAUUAAAUUAUGACAAUUACGAUCCUGAUGCGUGUGCUGGCUUAAAAGUAAAACCAAGAAAAGGCGACGGGCUUCUAUUUUAUUCUUUGUACCCAAAUGGGACAAUUGAUAAGGUAAGUUUUUUUUCCAAAAUUACCUAUUCAGAGCGGCAAUGGAAAUAUGCAAUAUUAGCUUCCUGGGAUCUCAUGCCAUAGGCUGAAGAUGCUGCACUGCUACAUAUCUACUCACAAGUAUAGUGAAGUACUAAUGCUCAUUGUGAAAUAUGCAUCACUUCACGGGAGCUGCCCUGUAAUUAGAGGGCAAAAAUGGGUGGCAACAAAGUGGCUCAGGAAUCAACUGUGGGUACCUAAAGGAGGGUGAGGUCCUGCCCUAAAGUUCUGAAUUUUACCUAGCAUUGAUCCUCUUGUCAUAUACUUUCUGCAUCCCACUUCGCGACAAGAAAAUAGAAUAAAACUGACCACCGGACUUGGUUGGUAAAGGAGGUCCAGGUUACUAACCGAUCAAAUUUUCAUAUUCAAAGCGGGGCUUGGUUAGUAAAUGUAACAAACUGAGGUCCAGGUUUAGUUGCUACCAACUCGGUUCAUUUAUACUCUCGAAUUGCCAUAAGCCAUUGCUGCUAACUCGAGAACUUGCUGGCACUUUAAUCAGAAAGUGUAAUCUGUAUUCUUGAGAGAACUACAAAUCUUGUCCUAAACAUAAGCCUAUAAACUAAAGAAAAGAGGCUUGAAAUGAAAUACUGUAGGCAACAAAUCAUCAAUGAUGAGUUCCUUAACCAGGAUUC